GGAAAGGUGUCAGAGUGGUUGAAUGAGCUGGUUUCGAAAACCAGUGUGGCGUAAGCCACCGUGGGUUCGAAUCCCACCCUUUCCG
rnacentral:tRNA from 1 species